UACGAGUGCCUCAAGCGUUAUCCGGAAUUAUUGGGCGUAAAGGGUGUGUAGGCGGUCUUGUUAGUCUUCUGUCAAAGUCUCCGGCUUAACCGGGGUUCUGCAGAGGAAACGGCAAGACUCGAGGAUGCGAGAGGUGAAUGGAACUCAUAGUGUAGGGGUGAAAUCCGUUGAUAUUAUGGGGAACACCAAAAGCGAAGGCAAUUCACUGGCGCACUCCUGACGCUGAAACACGAAAGCGUGGGUAGCGAAUGGG
rnacentral:rRNA from 1 species